CCACUGCACCUGGCCAAAGACAUUGUCCUAAGUUAAAAAAGCCAACCACGAUUCCAAAUAUAUAAGGUACCUAGAGUAGUCAAAUUUACAGAGGCAGAAAGUAGAAUAGUGGUAGCCAAGGGCUGGAGGCUGGGGGAAUGGGAAGUUGUUGUUUAAUGGGUACAGAGUUUCAGUUUUGCAAGAUGAAAAGAGUUCUCGAAGAUUGGUAGCACAACAGUGUAAAUGUGAAAAUGGCAAAUUUUAUGUUACAUGAUUUUAUCCAAUUUAAAAAUAUAAAUAAAUAAUAAAAAUUUAAAAUAUCAGGUAGUAAGAAGGAUUAUGAAGAAGAUAAAACAAGUAGGUGCACAGAGCACUUGGGGUGGGGUGGGUAGAUUUAUAUUUGGUGGUCAGAGAACACUUCCCUGAUAAGUGACAGUCAAGCAGAGAUCUGAAGUCUGUGAAGGAGGAAGCACACAUCUGGGGAAAGAGCAUUUCAGCAGAUGUUAAAGCAAAUGCCAGUGGUAAAAAGUGGAACCAGUUUGGUGUGUUCUAGGAAUAGGAAGAGAGCCAGUUGUAGCUCAAACAUGAUAGGAGAGGAGAGUGGUGGAAUAAGGUCUCAGAGAGGUGGUGAUGGACAGAUCAUGUUUCGAGUUAUGCCUGAGUAUGUAUAAAGGCAUCCUGGUAUGAAUAAAAUGUAGGUAUUAUAUUUCUCUGUAAUUGUAGACAUAGUGUCUGUUUGUUUGAAGGCAGAUGAUUCUGUUGACUUACCUCAGACAUAUUUUCACUCUCUGUACCUCUCUAAGUUAGAUGAACAUUCGUAUUGGAGAUAGAGUCUCCAAGCUGUAUUCAGUAUUAUUCUUCUUCCCACCCCCACCUUGCCAUUUUUCUAAGGGAAUAGAUUUCCAAAAUUUUCAAGUUGCAGAAUGAAUGCUGUAUUUAUAGUUCAGAGCUAAAAUUUAAGCUUAUUUUAAGAAUUCUCUUAUUGCGGGAGGCCGAGGC
rnacentral:lncRNA from 1 species